rnacentral:rRNA from 1 species
GUCCACGCCCUAAACGAUGUCAACUGGUUGUUGGACGGCUUGCUGUUCAGUAACGAAGCUAACGCGUGAAGUUGACCGCCUGGGGAGUACGGCCGCAAGGUUGAAACUCAAAAGGAAUUGACGGGGACCCGCACAAGCGGUGGAUGAUGUGGUUUAAUUCGAUGCAACGCGAAAAACCUUACCUACCCUUGACAUGUCUAGAAGUUACCAGAGAUGGUUCGUGCUCGAAAGAGAACUAGAACACAGGUGCUGCAUGGCCGUCAU